CAGGCCUAACACAUGCAAGUCGAGCGGUAGAGAGAAGCUUGCUUCUCUUGAGAGCGGCGGACGGGUGAGUAAUGCCUAGGAAUCUGCCUGGUAGUGGGGGAUAACGUUCGGAAACGGACGCUAAUACCGCAUACGUCCUACGGGAGAAAGCAGGGGACCUUCGGGCCUUGCGCUAUCAGAUGAGCCUAGGUCGGAUUAGCUAGUUGGUGAGGUAAUGGCUCACCAAGGCGACGAUCCGUAACUGGUCUGAGAGGAUGAUCAGUCACACUGGAACUGAGACACGGUCCAGACUCCUACGGGAGGCAGCAGUGGGGAAUAUUGGACAAUGGGCGAAAGCCUGAUCCAGCCAUGCCGCGUGUGUGAAGAAGGCCUUCGGGUUGUAAAGCCCUUUUGUUGGGAAAGAAAAGCAUUCGGUUAAUACCCGGGUGUUCUGACGGUACCCAAAGAAUAAGCACCGGCUAACUUCGUGCCAGCAGCCGCGGUAAU
rnacentral:rRNA from 1 species